rnacentral:rRNA from 1 species
GGGUUGUGAGGUUAAGCGACUAAGCGUACACGGUGGAUGCCCUGGCAGUCAGAGGCGAUGAAGGACGUGCUAAUCUGCGAAAAGCGUCGGUAAGGUGAUAUGAACCGUUACAGCCGGCGAUGUCCGAAUGGGGAAACCCAGUGCAAUUCGUUGCACUAUCGUUAACUGAAUACAUAGGUUAACGAGGCGAACCGGGGGAACUGAAACAUCUAAGUACCCCGAGGAAAAGAAAUCAACCGAGAUUCCCCCAGUAGCGGCGAGCGAACGGGGAGCAGCCCGGAGUCUGAAUCAGCUUGUGUGUUAGUGGAAGCGUCUGGAAAGUCGCAGGGUACAGGGUGAUACUCCCGUACACUAAAACGCACAGGUUGUGAACUCGAAGAGUAGGGCGGGACACGUGGUAUCCUGUCUGAAUAUGGGGGGACCAUCCUCCAAGGCUAAAUACUCCUGACUGACCGAUAGUGAACCAGUACCGUGAGGGAAAGGCGAAAAGAACCCCGGCGAGGGGAGUGAAAAAGAACCUGAAACCGUGUACGUACAAGCAGUAGGAGCCCCACCACCAAAGCGUUUCGCUUUGCGUGGUGCGCAAAAUGCGUAACGACAGCAUGAUGGACGGUUAACGGAGCGUCAGCGACGUUCAACCUCAAAAAUCAGGCAGUGGAGCGUUUUGGGGUGGGGUGACUGCGUACCUUUUGUAUAAUGGGUCAGCGACUUAUAUUCUGUAGCAAGGUUAACCGUAUAGGGGAGCCGCAGGGAAACCGAGUCUUAACUGGGCGUUAAGUUGCAGGGUAUAGACCCGAAACCCGGUGAUCUAGCCAUGGGCAGGUUGAAGGUUGGGUAACACUAACUGGAGGACCGAACCGACUAAUGUUGAAAAAUUAGCGGAUGACUUGUGGCUGGGGGUGAAAGGCCAAUCAAACCGGGAGAUAGCUGGUUCUCCCCGAAAGCUAUUUAGGUAGCGCCUCGUGAACUCAUCUUCGGGGUAGAGCACUGUUUCGGCUAGGGGGUCAUCCCGACUUACCAACCCGAUGCAAACUACGAAUACCGAAGAAUGUUAUCACGGGAGACACACGGCGGGUGCUAACGUCCGUCGUGAAGAGGGAAACAACCCAGACCGCCAGCUAAGGUCCCAAAGUCAUGGUUAAGUGGGAAACGAUGUGGGAAGGCCCAGACAGCCAGGAUGUUGGCUUAGAAGCAGCCAUCAUUUAAAGAAAGCGUAAUAGCUCACUGGUCGAGUCGGCCUGCGCGGAAGAUGUAACGGGGCUAAACCAUGCACCGAAGCUGCGGCAGCGACACUAUGUGUUGUUGGGUAGGGGAGCGUUCUGUAAGCCGUUGAAGGUGGCCUGUGAGGGUUGCUGGAGGUAUCAGAAGUGCGAAUGCUGACAUAAGUAACGAUAAUGCGGGUGAAAAACCCGCACGCCGGAAGACCAAGGGUUCCUGUCCAACGUUAAUCGGGGCAGGGUGAGUCGACCCCUAAGGCGAGGCCGAAAGGCGUAGUCGAUGGGAAACAGGUUAAUAUUCCUGUACUUGGUGUUACUGCGAAGGGGGACGGAGAAGGCUAUGUUGGCCGGGCGACGGUUGUCCCGGUUUAAGCAUGUAGGCGGAUGUUCCAGGUAAAUCCGGAACGUUACUAACGCUGAGGUGUGAUGACGAGGCACUACGGUGCUGAAGUGACAAAUGCCCUGCUUCCAGGAAAAGCCUCUAAGCAUCAGGUAACAUCAAAUCGUACCCCAAACCGACACAGGUGGUCAGGUAGAGAAUACCAAGGCGCUUGAGAGAACUCGGGUGAAGGAACUAGGCAAAAUGGUGCCGUAACUUCGGGAGAAGGCACGCUGAUGGUAAGUGAAGUGACUUGCUCAUGGAGCUGAAAUCAGUCGAAGAUACCAGCUGGCUGCAACUGUUUAUUAAAAACACAGCACUGUGCAAACACGAAAGUGGACGUAUACGGUGUGACGCCUGCCCGGUGCCGGAAGGUUAAUUGAUGGGGUUAUCCGUAAGGAGAAGCUCUUGAUCGAAGCCCCGGUAAACGGCGGCCGUAACUAUAACGGUCCUAAGGUAGCGAAAUUCCUUGUCGGGUAAGUUCCGACCUGCACGAAUGGCGUAAUGAUGGCCAGGCUGUCUCCACCCGAGACUCAGUGAAAUUGAACUCGCUGUGAAGAUGCAGUGUACCCGCGGCAAGACGGAAAGACCCCGUGAACCUUUACUAUAGCUUGACACUGAACACUGGUCCUUGAUGUGUAGGAUAGGUGGGAGGCUUUGAAGUGUGGACGCCAGUCUGCAUGGAGCCAUCCUUGAAAUACCACCCUUUAAUGGCUGGUGUUCUAACGUGGGCCCCUAAUCGGGGUUGCGGACAGUGUCUGGUGGGUAGUUUGACUGGGGCGGUCUCCUCCUAAAGAGUAACGGAGGAGCACGAAGGUCAGCUAAUCCUGGUCGGACAUCAGGAGGUUAGUGCAAUGGCAUAAGCUGGCUUGACUGCGAGCGUGACGGCGCGAGCAGGUGCGAAAGCAGGUCAUAGUGAUCCGGUGGUUCUGAAUGGAAGGGCCAUCGCUCAACGGAUAAAAGGUACUCCGGGGAUAACAGGCUGAUACCGCCCAAGAGUUCAUAUCGACGGCGGUGUUUGGCACCUCGAUGUCGGCUCAUCACAUCCUGGGGCUGAAGUAGGUCCCAAGGGUAUGGCUGUUCGCCAUUUAAAGUGGUACGCGAGCUGGGUUUAGAACGUCGUGAGACAGUUCGGUCCCUAUCUGCCGUGGGCGCUGGAGAAUUGAGGGGGGCUGCUCCUAGUACGAGAGGACCGGAGUGGACGCAUCACUGGUGUUCGGGUUGUCAUGCCAAUGGCAUUGCCCGGUAGCUAAAUGCGGAAGAGAUAAGUGCUGAAAGCAUCUAAGCACGAAACUUGCCCCGAGAUGAGUUCUCCCUGACCCUUUAAGGGUCCUGAAGGAACGUUGAAGACGACGACGUUGAUAGGCCGGGUGUGUAAGCGCAGCGAUGCGUUGAGCUAACCGGUACUAAUGAACCGUGAGGCUUAACCUUACAACGCCGAAG